rnacentral:rRNA from 1 species
UUUAAAGUCUAGCCUGCCCAAUGGGAUUUAAAUGGCUGCGGUAAUUUGACCGUGCAAAGGUAGCAUAAUCAUUAGUUUUUUAAUUGAAAGCUGGUAUGAAUGGUUGGACGAGAAAAAAACUGUCUCGGUUUGAGUUAAUUAGAACUUUAUUUUUAAGUAAAAAAGCUUAUAUGUAAUUGAAAGACGAGAAGACCCUAUAGAGUUUUAUAGUUAUUAAUUUAAUGGGAAUUGUUUAUUUUUUAUUAUGUUAGUAAGUAUUUUGUUGGGGUGAUAGGAAAAUUUAAUUAACUUUUUUUUGUAAAGUUCACUUAUUUGUGGUUUUAUGAUCCAUUAUUUAUGAUUAUAAGAUUAAAUUACCUUAGGGAUAACAGCGUAAUUUUUUUUGAGAGUUCUUAUUGAAAAAAAAGGUUGCGACCUCGAUGUUGGAUUAAAAUUUACUUUUGGUGCAGGAGCUUAUAAGUUGGGUCUGUUCGACCUUUAAAAUUUUACAUGAUCUGAGUUUAGACCGGUGUAAGCCAGGUUGGUUUCUAUCUUUAAUAAGGUUAUAUAUUUUAGUACGAAAGGAUUUUAUAUAUAUAAAAUUUAUUUUGAUUUGAGGGUUAGUA